UAUAUAUAUAUAAAUAAAAUAUAAUGUGAUUAAUUACAACUACUCGCUUUACACUGCCGAGGAAUAGGAACAAUUUCGCGUAUUCAGUCAUGCAAACUUUCGUUUCUGAUUUCUAGAGAGUGCCAUAAAUUACUUGAAUCAGAUGACAAAAUAUAUUUUUAAAGCCUUCUAUUGCGCAGAAAUCGGUAUCCUAACAAGAUCAAUUAUAAGAUUUAUUAAACUUUUUAAUUGCCGUUAUUAGUAUACUAUUAACAUAUAUUUUUCUAAAACAUCUAUGACCAAGUUUCGCGGCAUUCGAAAAAAUUGAGAGUGCAAAUUAAGCAUUUUAUAAAUAUCGCAUUUUGGUAUUGCGUUAGGUACAUUUCCUGCUGCUGGUACACACCUUUUAUAAGACGCUCUGUAUGUAGCAUUUAAAACAGUGACAUUGAAAUUUUGCAGGGUUUUUAUCCAGCAGCAAAAUUCUUUUCUGAUGUUUGCCAAAAAGCUUGAGCAAAUUUAAAAUGAUGAUACAGGAAUUGAAGAUUGUUGAUUAAAUUCAUUGAAAAAUAUUUACUGAUUUACAGAUAAAUGUUACACAGAGAUCACAUAAAUGAUAAAUUGAUAAAAUGAGUUUUAUUGUUUUACUGGAAAAGAAGAAUAAAUCAAUUAAUUAAUUAAGGAUAAUCAUGAAUCACAUCAUAUUGUUGCCAAUAUUGAUAAACUGAACUGGGCCAAUGCAUAUCAUUCUUUCCCUCCAAGCUAUGAAGUUACGUCUUACAUGACCAUUCGUUUUCUUGGAGCAAGAAAAUGUGGCAACUGGUUUGAUAAUUUGCACUCAUCUUCUUCAACAUAUAUAUUUUUCACAUAUUGUCGAUAUAUAUAUAUUUCUUUUAUUUGAAUAUUGAUCUUUUUAUUUACAAUUUUCUUAUUAUGAACAAAACUGAUUGCUAAUAACUAUCAGAGCUGUUGGAUACACAUGAUUGUCAUUGCCAUCAGGGAAAGAAACAAGACAAAGGAAAGAAUUUAUGCUGUAAAAUUGAAUUCUUAAUCUUUGCGAUUAAGGAUUAAUUUUAACCGUUUCCUUUUAGGUUCUAUAGUUUGUUUUUUUAAAAACACUUAUUUCCUAAAAAAACGAAACGCGCAUAUUAUACGCAUGAAAAAAUAUAUAUUUUAAAACUAGAUUUUGCAAAAAUUUAAUCAUUAACACAUUUUCUUGCUCCAUUCCGAAACGAAUCGCACGAUGAUGUCAUUAACAAAUUAGAAUAACUUAGAUGUAGCCCUUGAAGGGCAAUAGAUAAGCGGCGGUAAUAUCCCUACGUAUGUGCAUAUAUUUACUAACGCGUAAUUUGUAAAUGAUCACAGCUGCUUGAAACCGAGCAUAACAAAUGUACAAAUUGCAUUGUACUGUCGUAACCAAUUCAGAUUGUUAUUAUUCUUCUGCUUUUACCUUUGUUAAUAUUAUUUUUAUUAUUUUAUCAUUAUAUUAUAAGUAUCCACGUUAAUGUCGUUACUCUAAUGUAAGAAAAAGCGAAAUUUUUUUACUCUGCACGCUUUACUGCUGUUGUAAAGUCGCAUUCAAACCGACUUAAACAGGAAAUAUUUUUCCUGAAAUUAGUUUUAGAUAAAAACUGUAAAUUUUUUUAUACUCUUGCAUUGAAGUAACGACAUUAUUAUCGAUAUAUUCAGUGAGUUAGUAUUAUCAAUAUCAGCUUGUGUGUGUAUGUAUAUGCGUAUUAAACUCGGCUGCGUCUGCUGUUUUAUCUUUUCUUCCUUGUCUGAAUAUAGGGUAGAUCGAAAAUCAUGCACCUAAUAAGGUGAUUUCUUGUCGACAUAAGCAAUUUAAAUAUGCAAAGACCAUACUUUUUAAUUUAAAAAUGUAAGUACCUAAAAAUCUUUAUUUCUGGAACUGGGGAUUCUGAGUUAAGAAAAUUUAAUGAUUUAUCAAAGAAUAAAUAAACUAUAAAUCUAAAAAUGCGAGAUUUUGGACAUAAAAAUGUUACAUAUUCAGAAACGGUAUUAAUAUAACCGAUAGUAAUCGUGUAGCAUUUCAUGUGUAGCAUUUUCAAUAUCUAAAAAUAAGACUCAAGGAUACAAUAUGCACUUAAGAGAAAAAUUGAAAAGGGUGAUUUACUUAUUAAAAUGAAGAAGUUGGUAUAUGUAUGCAUAUUAGAAGUUGCUAUCAACAAAAAAAAUACUUCGAAAAAACAAAGUUACUUGUAUAGAAAAAAAAAUUGUUUUUUCGAAUUAUUUUAUCAGAAAAUUGUUUCCACUUCCACAUAUAUUGUAGCGAGAUUUUUGAACUACCCUGUGUACUUUGUAAUAUUUCGAAAUAAUGAUAACUCUCUGAGAGAGGUAUUUAAUCGUUCGAAUUAUCGUUUUUACUUAAAAUAGGAAGAGAUUUAAUGCGAAGAGAUUUUUGAUGUGGCUUCCAAUUCUUCCAUCCUUCUGUACUUAGUAAGUGUAACGAUGUUUCUUGUAAACGUUAUUGUAUGCGAACGCAUGUAUUAUAAAAUUCUCUUUGUAUAACGCCCAUCGAAUCGACUCUGUAUGUACGAUUGUACAAAUCUCUGCACGAUCCAAGAAUCCGAGAAUCCAUAGAUCUAAGUAUUCGAAAACCGAAACGAGUUAAAAGAGUUAUAAAAUUCAUGGAUCUGCUCAGUCGAACAGGAGCCAAUAUUAGAGUUGCAAUUGAGUAUCCUAAAAUCCGAGACUGUAAGGAUAUAAGAAUCAAUGAAUGUAUACAAGUGUGCAAUUAUUCGAUACAAUGUGUGAUAAUUAAAAAUUUAUUAGUAUAGUAAUCUAUGAUGUAAUUAAGAAUCGUGGAUCGAACGAUUAAAGAUUUUAAGGACAUAGUCUUUAGAGUUUUAAUGUUAAAUGGAAUAUCCAAUCAGAAGAAUUGAGAGAACCUACCAAAGAUUCAAGAAAAAAUUUGAAAAGUUAAUUAUAAGAAAUCAAAAAUAUCCAGAGAUGUGAGAAUUGAAAAAUUUAGGAAUUUAAAAAUUGAAUAGAUUAAGGAUUCAAAGAUCCAAUGAUCCAAAGGCUUGAAGCUAUAUAAAGAAUGCACGCAACAUACAGAUCAAAAUAACACACAAAGAAAAAUCUAAGGAUUCAAGGAUCUAAAAAUGUAUCUUUUAGAUAUACUAUAUGUAUUAUUAUUAUUACGUUAUUGCGUAUGAAAAGUCUGUUUUUAAUUUAGACUGAUAUAAUCUCAAGGAAUUUUUAACAGAAUUAGAGAUAUAGAUUAUUUUUUAUAUAAAAAAAAUAUUUUAAUAUAUAUAUAAUAAUAUACACAGCUAUACAAAAGAUAUGUACGGCAUUUAAAAAGCUAAAGAUUAAAGCGUUUACUUUAUUUAUUUAUUAGCCAGAAAUAAAAUAUGUACACUAGCAUAUGUACACUUUUCUACAUUUGUAAAUUUUAUGAUUUAGUGACAUUAUAUUAAUAAACGUAAUAUAUAAUAUUCUUAAUAAUAUUAAUAAAUUCAAUACAUACGCGCGUCGGAAUAGCUAGUUUUAUAAUCUGCGAUUAAAUCUUAAAAAUUUUAAACAAUUCGUGCGCUUAAUAAAUAAAUUAUUUUUUUUGCAAAACAGCUUUUUACCACAUACUUUUAAAUUCAAUGUAAACAUUAAAAAAUAUACAAUAGAAUACAGGAAUACUACAUACACAAAUAAAUAUAUAUUAAAUGUACUAAAAGCAAGAAAUUAGACGUCUAAAAUUAACAUAAAAGUUGGAAAUUGUGUAUUUAGAUUAUCCUGGAAAUCAAAAAAUAAAUUAGGUUUUAAUAUUCCGAAAUUUAAAAAAAUGUUAGUUGUACAAUAAAGAAUAAAAAAAUUUGGAAACAGGCUGAUUAAACGCGGGAAAUUAGAAAAUUUGACUUUUCAUACGCAAACACGUAAUAUAUUAAUAUCUAAUUGAAGCAAGGAGAAACGCGAGUGAGAAAGUUUUGCCGAUAAUGUUCUCAAUCUUGAAAUCGUAAUCACAAGGAUUUCGAGCCGCUGCCUUGCUGUGCAUAAUGAAGUGACAAAUAUGUAAAAAAAAAAAUAUAUAUAUAUAUAUACACACAUUCAAAAAACGGCAGAAGCAGAAAAUGCGCGUGUGUAUGUGUAAAUGUACAUUUGUAUGUUCUGUAUGCGUGUGCGUAUGUGUAAAAAGAAUAGCGUUCGAGGCUUUCGCCGAGUGAAACGGCCGCCAAUUCGAGUCGAGACUUUUUUAUAUAUACGAAUCCAAAAAAUUUCUUAACAAAAA